rnacentral:rRNA from 1 species
AAAACGACUCUCGGCAANUGGAUAUCUCGGCUCUCGNCAUCKAUGAAGAGCGCAGCGAAAUGCGAUACGUGGUGCGAAUUGCAGAAUCCCGCGAACCAUCGAGAAUUUGAACGCAAGUUGCGCCCGAGGCCAGCUGGNCUGAGGGCACGUCCGCCUGGGCGUCAAGC